rnacentral:rRNA from 1 species
AUACGUAGGUGGCAAGCGUUGUCCGGAAUUUACUGGGUGUAAAGGGAGCGUAGACGGUUAGGUAAGUCUGAUGUGAAAGCCCGCGGCUCAACCGCGGGACUGCAUUGGAAACUAUUUAACUAGAGUGCAGGAGAGGUAAGUGGAAUUCCUAGUGUAGCGGUGAAAUGCGUAGAUAUUAGGAGGAACACCAGUGGCGAAGGCGGCUUACUGGACUGUAACUGACGUUGAGGCUCGAAAGCGUGGGGAGC